CUACGGGAGGCAGCAGUGAGGAAUAUUGCACAAUGGGGGGAACCCUGAUGCAGCAACGCCGCGUGGAGGAUGACGCAUUUCGGUGUGUAAACUCCUUUUAUAUGUCAAGAAAAUGACGGUAGCAUAUGAAUAAGCACCGGCUAACUCCGUGCCAGCAGCCGCGGUAAUACGGAGGGUGCAAGCGUUACUCGGAAUCACUGGGCGUAAAGGACGCGUAGGCGGGUUGGAAAGUCAGGUGUGAAAUCCUACAGCUUAACUGUAGAACUGCACUUGAAACUUCUAAUCUAGAGUAUGGGAGGGGGAGAUGGAAUUAGUAGUGUAGGGGUAACAUCCGUAGAUAUCACUAGGAAUACCUAAAGCGAAGGCGAUCUCCUGGAACAUUACUGACGCUAAGGCGUGAAAGCGUGGGGAGCAAACAGGAUUAGAUACCCGGGUAGUC
rnacentral:rRNA from 1 species